rnacentral:rRNA from 1 species
AUUGAACGCUGGCGGCAUGCCUUACACAUGCAAGUCGAACGGUAACGGGCCUUCGGGUGCCGACGAGUGGCGAACGGGUGAGUAAUGCAUCGGAACGUACCUUUCAGUGGGGGGAUAACGUAGCGAAAGUUACGCUAAUACCGCAUAUUCUGUGAGCAGGAAAGCAGGGGAUCGCAAGACCUUGCGCUGAUUGAGCGGCCGAUGUCAGAUUAGGUAGUUGGUGGGGUAAAGGCUCACCAAGCCAACGAUCUGUAGCUGGUCUGAGAGGACGACCAGCCACACUGGAACUGAGACACGGUCCAGACUCCUACGGGAGGCAGCAGUGGGGAAUUUUGGACAAUGGGGGCAACCCUGAUCCAGCCAUGCCGCGUGUGCGAUGAAGGCCUUCGGGUUGUAAAGCACUUUUCGGGAGGAAGAGGAAGGACUGUACUCCCAGAAUAAGCCUCGGCUAACUACGUG